GGUUGGAUGGCAUCACCAACUGGAUGCACAUGAGUUUGAGUAAGCUCUGGGAGUUGGCUAUGGACAGGGAAGCCUGGCAUGCUGCAGUCAGACAUAACUGAGCAGCUGAACUGAACUGAGACAUGUGAAUUUCAGUGAGAUACAGAAAUCUGCAGAAAGCUACUGCACUAUCAAAGUUUUUUAAAAACCAUUGUGCUGAUAACACAAGAGAAAGAAGGCUUAGAAUUAUUAUACCACUUGGACAAAUAUCAAGAACACAGAAGAACUAU